rnacentral:rRNA from 1 species
CCUACGGGAGGCAGCAGUGGGGAAUUUUCCGCAAUGGGCGAAAGCCUGACGGAGCAACGCCGCGUGGGUGAUGAAGUAUUUCGGUACGUAAAACCCUUUCAGCAGGGACGAACACAAUGACGGUACCUGCAGAAGAAGCAUCGGCUAACUACGUGCCAGCAGCCGCGGUAAUACGUAGGAUGCAAGCGUUGUCCGGAUUUAUUGGGCGUAAAGCGAACGUAGGCGGUUUCUUAAGUUUGGUCUUAAAGACUGGGGCUCAACCCCAGGAAUGGACUGAAUACUGGGAGACUAGAGGAUGUUAGAGGAAAGUGGAAUUCCAAGUGUAGCGGUGAAAUGCGUAGAUAUUUGGAGGAACACCAGUGGCGAAAGCGGCUUUCUGGGACAUUUCUGACGCUGAGGUUCGAAAGCUCGGGGAGCAAACAGGAUUAGAUACCCUGGUAGUCCGAGCCGUAAACGAUGGACACUAGGUGUCGGGGGUAUCGACCCCCCGGUGCCGUAGCUAACGCGUUAAGUGUCCCGCCUGGGGAGGUACGGUCGCGACGACUAGAACUACGAAGAAGUAGACGGACGUGAGACGUGCCGAACGGACGACGACGAGGGAGGAGG